UCCACCUGGGGGGCACACCUGCCACCUCACACCUGUCCGCUUCGCUGGGGGGGGAGUUUGGCUGGGAGGAGGCGAAGCGACUGCCCCACCCGACGCAGGAGCCCGGGUGUGAGAGAACAGAAGGACAGCUGUGCGGAGGCCAGAGACACGUCACCAGUUGCCAUUCACGGACCCUGGAUGAGGAAGGGGCAAGAGACCAACGAUCCAGCCAAGUCCCAAAGCCACCGCAGGGGCCAGUACCCACCUGUUCCUAUCCUCCACACCUGCGUCUGCAUCUUAGUGACAGAAUUUCUUGCUGCAUGUGUGCCCUUCCCUAUUAAGCGAAAGUUUCUUG